rnacentral:lncRNA from 1 species
CCCUUCCACCCCUGAAAUCCAGGGAACUGGCCGUGUUUCCAUGAGGAAAACCACCAAGCCUGUUCCUUCUGGUAGCCCAUGGUACGGUCCUGACCGAGUUUUGUACUUGGGUCCACUUUCCGGUGAGCCACCAUCUUACUUGACCGGUGAGUUCCCUGGUGACUAUGGUUGGGACACUGCUGGACUCUCAGCUGAUCCCGAGACCUUUGCUAGGAACCGUGAGCUCGAAGUCAUUCACUGCAGAUGGGCCAUGUUGGGAGCUCUUGGGUGUGUUUUCCCUGAGCUGUUGGCUAGGAACGGUGUCAAGUUCGGUGAAGCUGUAUGGUUCAAGGCCGGGUCUCAAAUCUUCAGUGAGGGUGGACUUGACUACUUGGGUAACCCAAGCUUGAUCCAUGCUCAAAGCAUUUUGGCCAUCUGGGCUUGCCAAGUUAUCUUGAUGGGAGCCGUCGAGGGCUACCGUAUUGCCGGUGGACCACUCGGUGAAGUGACUGACCCAUUGUACCCAGGUGGCAGCUUUGACCCAUUGGGUCUUGCUGAUGACCCAGAGGCAUUCGCUGAGCUCAAGGUGAAAGAGAUCAAGAACGGUAGGUUGGCUAUGUUCUCAAUGUUCGGGUUCUUCGUUCAGGCCAUCGUGACCGGAAAGGGACCAUUGGAGAACUUGGCUGACCACCUUGCUGACCCAGUCAACAACAAUGCUUGGGCCUAUGCCACCAA